rnacentral:rRNA from 1 species
CCAGCAGCCGCGGUAAUACGUAGGGGGCGAGCGUUGUCCGGAGUUACUGGGCGUAAAGGGCAUGCAGGCGGUCGGACGCGUUUUGUGUGACAGCGCCUGGCUAAACCAGGCGAGCAUACGAAAGACGGUCUGACUUGAGGGCUCGAGAGGAACACGGAAUUCCUGGUGUAGCGGUGAAAUGCGUAGAUAUCAGGAGGAACACCUGCGGUGUAGACAGCUUUCUGGACCACGACUGACGCUGAGACACGAAAGCGUGGGUAGCAAACAGGAUUAGAUACCCUGGUA